rnacentral:tRNA from 1 species
GGGUCGGUAGCGAAGUGGUUAAACGCGAGUGACUGUAAAUCACUUGGCCUUGUGCCUUCGGGGGUUCGAAUCCCUCCCGGCCCA